UGGGGAAUUUUUGGACAAUGGGCGAAAGCCUGAUCCAGCAAUGCCGCGUGUGUGAAGAAGGCCUUCGGGUUGUAAAGCACUUUUGUCCGGAAAGAAAUCCUUGGCUCUAAUACAGUCGGGGGAUGACGGUACCGGAAGAAUAAGCACCGGCUAACUACGUGCCAGCAGCCGCGGUAAUACGUAGGGUGCAAGCGUUAAUCGGAAUUACUGGGCGUAAAGCGUGCGCAGGCGGUUUGCUAAGACCGAUGUGAAAUCCCCGGGCUCAACCUGGGAACUGCAUUUGGUGACUGGCAGGCUAGAGUAUGGCAGAGGGGGGUAGAAUUCCACGUGUAGCAGUGAAAUGCGUAGAGAUGUGGAGGAAUACCGAUGGCGAAGGCAGCCCCCUGGGGCCAAUACUGACGCUCAUGCACGAAAGCGU
rnacentral:rRNA from 1 species